rnacentral:rRNA from 1 species
CCUACGGGGGGCAGCAGUGAGGAAUAUUGGUCAAUGGCCGCAGGGCUGAACCAGCCAAGUCGCGUGAGGGAUGACGGUCCUAUGGAUUGUAAACCUCUUUUGUCAGGGAGCAAAGGGCGCCACGUGUGGCGCUUUGCGAGUACCUGAAGAAAAAGCAUCGGCUAACUCCGUGCCAGCAGCCGCGGUAAUACGGAGGAUGCGAGCGUUAUCCGGAUUUAUUGGGUUUAAAGGGUGCGCAGGCGGAAUGUCAAGUCAGCGGUAAAAUUUCGGGGCUCAACCCCGUCGUGCCGUUGAAACUGGCGUUCUUGAGUGAGUGAGAGGUAUGCGGAAUGCGUGGUGUAGCGGUGAAAUGCAUAGAUAUCACGCAGAACUCCGAUUGCGAAGGCAGCAUACCGGCGCUCAACUGACGCUCAUGCACGAAAGUGUGGGUAUCGAACAGGAUUAGAUACCCCAGUAGUC